CACCAGGGCCUACAGCUGGGAUGGACUCUGCAGGUUGGGAUGCCCACCGACACGGUGGGGAGAACAGCCCCACUCCCCAACUGCCAUCCAGGACUGAUCACUGGGACUCGAGCUGCCGUGCUUACGACAGAAAGCUGCCCCGGGUCUGCAGGUACUUCCAGAGGGGCUUCUGCUUCCAUGGAGACCGAUGCAGCUAUCGGCACCUGAGGCCCCCCCAGACCCCCGGAAUGGGGCCGCCACCAUUCAGAGCCACACGUCACCCUGUCAGAGCCCCAGCUAGGACUGACCCGCAGGGGCUCCGAGCCCACCUACCUGCCCUCCAUGGCUAGGGCUAUGGGCUGGGGCUGGGCCAGGGCCUGCUGGGACAUGGAACCUGGUCUGCAGGAGGUUGGUGGCAGUUCCUGGAAGCCCCUGUCUCUAUCAUCUGCUGACGGGUAUCACAGCCGCUCCCAGGAGUCUCAGCCGGAGGUUGACCCUGACCCGGAACUGAUAGCGCCACUUCAGAGCCUGGACCUUGAGGAGUGGCAGG